rnacentral:rRNA from 1 species
GUGGACGCCAGUCUGCAUGGAGCCGACCUUGAAAUACCACCCUUUAAUGUUUGAUGUUCUAACGUUGACCCGUGAUCCGGGUUGCGGACAGUGUCUGGUGGGUAGUUUGACUGGGGCGGUCUCCUCCUAAAGAGUAACGGAGGAGCACGAAGGUUGGCUAAUCCUGGUCGGACAUCAGGAGGUUAGUGCAAUGGCAUAAGCCAGCUUGACUGCGAGCGUGACGGCGCGAGCAGGUGCGAAAGCAGGUCAUAGUGAUCCGGUGGUUCUGAAUGGAAGGGCCAUCGCUCAACGGAUAAAAGGUACUCCGGGGAUAACAGGCUGAUACCGCCCAAGAGUUCAUAUCGACGGCGGUGUUUGGCACCUCGAUGUCGGCUCAUCACAUCCUGGGGCUGAAGUAGGUCCCAAGGGUAUGGCUGUUCGCCAUUUAAAGUGGUACGCGAGCUGGGUUUAGAACGUCGUGAGACAGUUCGGUCCCUAUCUGCCGUGGGCGCUGGAGAACUGAGGGGGGCUGCUCCUAGUACGAGAGGACCGGAGUGGACGCAUCACUGGUGUUCGGGUUGUCAUGCCAAUGGCACUGCCCGGUAGCUAAAUGCGGAAGAGAUAAGUGCUGAAAGCAUCUAAGCACGAAACUUGCCCCGAGAUGAGUUCUCCCUGACUCCUUGAGAGUCCUGAAGGAACGUUGAAG